AUUGAACGCUGGCGGCAGGCCUAACACAUGCAAGUCGAGCGAGCGGCGGACGGGUGAGUAAUGUAUGGGGACUGCCCGAUAGAGGGGGAUAACUACUGGAAACGGUGGCUAAUACCGCAUACUAUCGGAUAACCCAUAUGGGAUUAGCUAGUAGGUGGGGUAGAGGCUCACCUAGGCGACGAUCUCUAGCUGGUCGGAGAGGAGGAUAAGCCACCCUGGGACUGAGAUACGGCCCAGACUCAUACGGAGGCAGCAGUGGGGAAGAUUACACAAUGGGCGCAACGCUGAUGCAGCCAUGCCGCGUGUAUGAAGAAGGCCUGAGGGUUGUAAAGGACUUUCAGCGGGGAGGCGUUACCCGAAGAAGAAGCACCGGCUAACUCCGUGCCAGCAGCCGCGGUAAUUC
rnacentral:rRNA from 1 species